GGUGAUCCUGCGGAAGGAUCAUUAACGAGUAACUGAACGGGUUGUAGCUGGCCUUUCGGGGCAUGAUGCACACCUGGCUCAUCCACUCUUCAACCUCUGUGCACUUGUUGUAGGUCGGUAGAAGAGCGAGCAUUUAAUGCUUGCUUGGAAGCCUUCCUAUGUUUUACUACAAACGCUUCAGUUUAAGAAUGUUUACCUGCGUAUAACGCAUUUAUAUACAACUUUCAGCAACGGAUCUCUUGGCUCUCGCAUCGAUGAAGAACGCAGCGAAAUGCGAUAAGUAAUGUGAAUUGCAGAAUUCAGUGAAUCAUCGAAUCUUUGAACGCACCUUGCGCUCCCUGGUAUUCCGGGGAGCAUGCCUGUUUGAGUGUCAUGGUAUUCUCAACCUUCAUAACUUUUGUUAUCGAAGGCUUGGACUUGGAGGUUGUGCUGGCUUUUAGUUAAGUCGGCUCCUCUUAAAUGUAUUAGCGUGAGUGUAACGGAUCGCUUCGGUGUGAUAAUUAUCUGCGCCGUGGUCGUGAAGUAACAUAAGCUUGCGCUUCUAACCGUCCUUCAGUUGGACAAUUACUUUGACAUCUGACCUCAAAUCAGGUAGGACUACCC
rnacentral:rRNA from 1 species